ACGAACGCUGGCGGCGUGCCUAACACAUGCAAGUCGAACGAGAAAGUCCCGCAAGGGAUGAGUAAAGUGGCGCACGGGUGAGUAACACGUAGGCAACCUGCCUCUAAGACUGGAAUAACUUGUCGAAAGACGGGCUAAUGCCAGAUAAGACCACAGUUCCCUCGGGAAUAGAGGUCAAAGGUGGCCUCUGCAUGCAAGCUAUCACUUAGAGAUGGGCCUGCGCACCAUUAGCUAGUUGGUAGGGUAACGGCCUACCAAGGCAAAGAUGGUUAGCUGGUCUGAGAGGAUGACCAGCCACACUGGGACUGAGACACGGCCCAGACUCCUACGGGAGCAGCAGUGGGAAUCGUUGGGCAAUGGGACGAAAGCUUGACCCAGCAACGCCGCGUGGGUGAUGAAGGCC
rnacentral:rRNA from 1 species